rnacentral:rRNA from 1 species
UACGUAGGGUGCGAGCGUUAAUCGGAAUUACUGGGCGUAAAGCGUGCGCAGGCGGUUCGCCAAGUCAGGUGUGAAAUCCCCGGGCUUAACCUGGGAAUUGCGCUUGAAACUAGCGGGCUUGAGUGUGGCAGAGGGGGGUGGAAUUCCACGUGUAGCAGUGAAAUUCGUAGAUAUUAGGAAGAACACCGGUGGCGAAGGCGGCCCACUGGUCCGGUACUGACGCUGAGGUGCGAAAGCGUGGGGAGCAA